rnacentral:rRNA from 1 species
UAAUACGUAAGUGGCGAGCGUUAUCCGGAAUUACUGGGCGUAAAGAGUGCGUAGGCGGUCUGGUAAGUUGGAUUUGAAAUCCCGGGGCUCAACUCCGGACCCGGAUCCAAAACUGCCUGACUGGAGCGAAUCAGAGGACAAUGGAAUUCCCGGUGUAGCGGUAAUAUGCGUAGAUAUCGGGAGGAACACCAGUGGCGUAGGCGAUUGUCUGGGGUUCUGCUGACGCUGAGGCACUAAAGCCAGGGGAGCGAACGGGAUUAGAUACCCCGGUAGUCCUGGCCUUAAACGAUGAACACUAGGUGUAGGAGGCUUCGACCCCUUCUGCGCCGCCGCUAACGCAUUAAGUGUUCCGCCUGGGGAGUACGGCCGCAAGGUUA